UACGGGGGGGGCGAGCGUUGUCCGGAAUUAUUGGGCGUAAAGAGCUCGUAGGCGGUUUGUUGCGUCGGCUGUGAAAUCCCGAGGCUCAACCUCGGGUCUGCAGUCGAUACGAGCAAACUAGAGUGUUGCAGGGGAGACUGGAAUUCCUGGUGUAGCGGUGAAAUGCGCAGAUAUCAGGAGGAACACCGGUGGCGAAGGCGGGUCUCUGGGCAACAACUGACGCUGAGGAGCGAAAGCGUGGGGAGCGAACAGG
rnacentral:rRNA from 1 species